rnacentral:tRNA from 1 species
ACAUGGUGGCUCAGCUGAUAGAGUACUGACCUACUGAGUUGAAUGUCGCCGGUUCGAUUUCGGCUUGUA